GGCUUACCAAUGCCUUCACCUUGAGAGCAGUUUCACUAAGCCAAAUAUCUGCCUCUAGUACCUCGGCUUAUCAACACCUUCACCCUGAGUGCAGUUCCAUUAAGUUUGAUUGAUAUCUCAUACCAUUCAAGUGCUUCCGCUCCAUAAUCAUCCACACAAGAAAUGGCUCUUUCCAAUGUUCCCAUACCUUGUGCAACUGAGUUCCAUGACUUUCCAAGUUCUCAUCUCAACUUGCACUUUUAAAAACGAGUGCUACAUCAUUCCCUACACUAU
rnacentral:lncRNA from 1 species